AGUGAACGCUGGCGGUAGGCCCAACACAUGCAAGUCGAACGGAAAGGCCCUGCUUUUGUGGGGUGCUCGAGUGGCGAACGGGUGAGUAACACGUGAGUAACCUGCCCUUGACUUUGGGAUAACUUCAGGAAACUGGGGCUAAUACCGGAUAGGAGCUCCUGCUGCAUGGUGGGGGUUGGAAAGUUUCGGCGGUUGGGGAUGGACUCGCGGCUUAUCAGCCUGUUGGUGGGGUAGUGGCUUACCAAGGCUUUGACGGGUAGCCGGCCUGAGAGGGUGACCGGCCACAUUGGGACUGAGAUACGGCCCAGACUCCUACGGGAGGCAGCAGUGGGGAAUAUUGCACAAUGGGCGGAAGCCUGAUGCAGCAACGCCGCGUGCGGGAUGACGGCCUUCGGGUUGUAAACCGCUUUCGCCUGUGACGAAGCGUGAGUGACGGUAAUGGGUAAAGAAGCACCGGCUAACUACGUG
rnacentral:rRNA from 1 species